GCCCGGCUAGCUCAGUCGGUAGAGCAUGAGAUUCUUGAUCUUAGGGUCGUGGGUUCAAACCGCUCGCUGGGCG